rnacentral:rRNA from 1 species
GUCUGAUGGAGCAACUGCCGCGUGAGUGAAGAAGGCUUUCGGGUCGUAAAGCUCUGUUGUUGGGGAAGAACGGAGUACAGAGAAUCCGUUUGCUCCUUGACGUUACCCACCCAAAAAGCCCCGGCUAACUCCGUG